rnacentral:rRNA from 1 species
UACGGAGGGGGCAAGCGUUGUUCGGAAUUACUGGGCGUAAAGCGCACGUAGGCGGUUUUGUAAGUCUGGGGUCAAAGGCGACAGCUCAACUGUCGUAAGGCCUUAGAUACUAUAGAACUGGAGUGCCAGAGAGGAUGGCGGAAUUCCCGGUGUAGCGGUGAAAUGCGUAGAGAUCUGGAGGAAUACCGGUGGCGAAGGCGGCCCCCUGGACAAAGACUGACGCUCAGGCACGAAAGCGUGGGGAGCAAACAGG